CCUACGGGAGGCAGCAGUGGGGAAUAUUGCACAAUGGGGGAAACCCUGAUGCAGCAACGCCGCGUGAGCGAUGAAGGCCUUCGGGUCGUAAAGCUCUGUCCUAAGGGAAGAAUACUGACGGUACCUUAGGAGGAAGCCCCGGCUAACUACGUGCCAGCAGCCGCGGUAAUACGUAGGGGGCUAGCGUUAUACGGAAUUACUGGGCGUGAAGGGUGCGUAGGCAGCCCUUCAAGUCAGAGGUGAAAGGGUACGGCUCAACCGUAGUAAGACUUUGAAAAUGUAGGGCUUGAGUGCAGGAGAGAAAGGCGAGAUUCCUAGUGUAGAGGUGAAAUCCGUAGAUAUUACGAAGAACACCAGGGGCGAAGGCGGCUUUCUGGACUGUAACUGACGCUGCGGCACGAAAGCGUGGGGAGCGAACAGGAUUAGAUACCCUUGUAGUC
rnacentral:rRNA from 1 species